rnacentral:rRNA from 1 species
AUUGAACGCUGGCGGCAGGCCUAACACAUGCAAGUCGAGCGGAUGGAGGGAGCUUGCUCCUGGAUUCAGCGGCGGACGGGUGAGUAAUGCCUAGGAAUCUGCCUGGUAGUGGGGGAUAACGUCCGGAAACGGGCGCUAAUACCGCAUACGUCCUGAGGGAGAAAGUGGGGGAUCUUCGGACCUCACGCUAUCAGAUGAGCCUAGGUCGGAUUAGCUAGUUGGUGGGGUAAAGGCCUACCAAGGCGACGAUCCGUAACUGGUCUGAGAGGAUGAUCAGUCACACUGGAACUGAGACACGGUCCAGACUCCUACGGGAGGCAGCAGUGGGGAAUAUUGGACAAUGGGCGAAAGCCUGAUCCAGCCAUGCCGCGUGUGUGAAGAAGGUCUUCGGAUUGUAAAGCACUUUAAGUUGGGAGGAAGGGCAGUAAGUUAAUACCUUGCUGUUUUGACGUUACCAACAGAAUAAGCACCGGCUAACCUCGUG